rnacentral:rRNA from 1 species
AGCAGUCGCGGUCAUACAAUGAAGGCAAGCGUUAAUCAUAAUGGUUUAAAGAAUCCGUAGAAUUAAAAAUAAAUUAGAGUUAAUAAAUUUAAUUAAAGAAUUAUAAUAGUAAGGAUGAAAUAAUAAUAAUAAUUAUAAGACUGGUAUAUGUGAAAAUAUUAAUUAAAUAUUAACUGACAUUGAGGGAUGAAGACUAAAGUAGCAAAACAGAUUCGAUACCUGUGUAGUUUUAGUAGUAAACGAUGAAUACCAUAUUUAUUAAUAAAUUUAAUAAAUAUAUAUGAAAAUGUAAGUAUUCCACCUGAAGAGUAUAUUAGCAAUAAUGAAACUCAAGACAAUAGACGGUUACAGACUUAAGUAGUGGAGUAC